rnacentral:tRNA from 3 species
AUCGACGACUCAGCUGCACCAUAAGCACCCACACGAAUUGCUUGAUUCAUUGAAGAAGACGAUUAGAAGCAGCUUUAAGCUCCAAGCUGAUAGCUCAACGCUAGCGGCUACAAGCUCGAAAUUGGGUCUGUAGCUCAGUUGGUUAGAGCGCACCCCUGAUAAGGGUGAGGUCGGCAGUUCGAAUCUGCCCAGACCCACCAAUUUUGUGUGGGAAACGCCUGUAGAAAUACGGGGCCAUAGCUCAGCUGGGAGAGCGCCUGCCUUGCACGCAGGAGGUCAGCGGUUCGAUCCCGCUUGGCUCCACCACUUACUGCUUCUGUUUGAAAGCUUAGAAAUGAGCAUUCCAUUGAUCCUGAUGAUCAGUGCCUGAAUGUUGAUUUCUAGUCUUUGAUUAGAUCGUUCUUUAAAAAUUUGGGUAUGUGAUAGAAAGAAAUAUAGACCGGGCACCUCUUUCACUGGUGUGUGUCCGGGCUAAGGUAAAGUUUGUGAAAUGCAAACUUUCGGCGAAUGUCGUCUUCACAGUAUAACCAGAUUGCUUGGGGUUAUAU